AUUGAGAAUUAAAUUUAUUUUCAUCAUGAGCCAUUCUAAAAUAUAUCAUAAACAGCCAAGACUGUGAAUGACAUGGAUUACUGUUCAUCAAGAGCAUUUCGGAAUUAACACAAGAGCUGAUGUCUGUAAAAUAAGAUUUUUACUCCCUUUUAAGUAGCAAUGCUGAAAAAAAGUCAGAGGAAUUGCACAGCAGCAGAUUCUUUGUCUCUAAGUUAUAAGUAGAAUGACAAUAUGCAUAUACUGUGCAUAUUAUACAUAUUAUAACAGCCUCAAAUUUUUACUUUAAAACAGGCCACUGCAAAAAAUACUUUAUCAGUACAUGUCCAAAACUUUUAGAUAGAAAAGAAAUAUACUUCUAUCCUCCAGCCCAUAAUGUUUUGCAAGCCAUUUGUUCCAGCUGCAAAUUGCAGCUUUUUCAGUGUCCUGAAAAUAUGUAGCCAGAGACUUGUUGAGCUGUCCUUUUUUUCAGUGUACCAGUUAGUGUGCUCCCAAGAUGGUAUAGCUCAUGUCAAUUCAUAUAUGAUUAAACAAUGAGGUAUAUGAUGGUAGCAUGUUGUAGAAAAUAAAUACAUAAACAAAAGAAAGAAAUACAUGCUUGAAAGCUUGACAACGCAAAGCCUCAGGUCUUAUCCCUUAGAUUCAGAGCAUCUGUAGAUGUUAAAAAGAUUCACUACAGAAUGGAGCUGUUUUAACUCUCCAGCGUCUGAACUUUUCUUUCAUCCUAUUCCCAUAGGAUUUCUACCUGCCUUGUGAGAAGAGGUGAGCUGUGCCCGUUUUUCCAUUUUUUGAUGAUGAAAGUUUUUGUUUCUCUGAUGCAUAGGAAAUGCACACUUUGAUUGAACUUCCUUUCUUAUAAAAGACCUCAGUGUACAACUUAUCCUUUCCUUCCCCUUGCAAAAUAUUUUGACUUGUGAUU
rnacentral:lncRNA from 7 species